rnacentral:lncRNA from 1 species
AGUGACAGCAGCUUGUUAAGGCUAAUGAACGGCUGAAUUUCCUCUGCCGGGAUCCAAAGCAGGAUUUGCCAGCUUGAGGCUGAGAUGUAACAGUCUCUGCUUUAGCAAAAGAGGUUUGGCUUUUGGUAUAAGGAGCCGAGUGGCAAGGCGGAUCCUUUAACUGUACCAUUGUUGCUAGUUCACUUCUGGUCAGAGGCUGUGAGUUUUCCUCCAGGUAUUGGCGUCUGGUGUCUCUGUGUCCACACAUGCAUUCUUGUCCAAGGACGCUAGCAGAUGCUUGACUCUGUCUCUCUGUAAACACAUACACAGUUCACAUAUUUUUAGAAUAAAGUCUUUCUUCAAUGCAUCCUUUUCCUUAUCCUUAACGAGAGUGUGUCUCAUGAAGGGUCUCACUGGAUCUUUUUCUUCCUUUUAUUUCCAAUGCUAAUUAAACCAAAAUCUUCUGAAAUAGCCUUCAUUUCACACUGUCAGCCCACUGGCCUGGGCUGCCAGGUGCUAUAUCAGCCAGGAAAACAAAGCAAACUGUAGGGUCUGUCCAUCCGUAGGUUUGCCUCAGUCCCCAAUUCGCAGAUAGCCUUGUCAUGAAUUAGAAUUUCUUGGCAACAGCACCACCCAGGGAAAUUUGUAGACACAAAGGAGCCUUGCUAGCCACACUGAAAGGAUAAAAUAACUGUUUUUUUUUGGUAUGUGAUUUGUGUGUUCUUCAGUUACUGUAAAUCUGUUUCUUUAUUUGAAACAGCAACUUGGUAGAUGAAAUAAAAAUAUAACUGCCCGUUACCCAGAAUUUAUCUUUAUGAAGAUGCAAUCACUAAAUAGAUGUAACUCUACAAAUGAAAGCACAUGUGACUGCAAUCAAUCACACACUUAGCCUUUAAUAGAUUCAUUUCCAUGUUCCUUUAACAGACACAUCUUUGUGUAGAUUUAGGGGCUUCAAACAUUAUCAUUCAGUCUACCUGUUUGCAGUUUGGUAUUUUAAAGUGGGCAAACAUUAUAAUGCAGUUAUUUUUUACUACAUCUGUCCUUAGUAGGGGGAAAAGGAGGUCACUAUUCUUUGUUCUCCAUGAACUUCCCACCCCCACUCCUUACCCUGAGGAGAAUGGGAUGUUGGGGUCCCAUCCAUUUAAAAGGCAGAGCAGAAGAUGCAAGAUGACAGCCUUGCCCUGAAAUGAUUUAUGUAUGGGUGUGUCAGAGACCUUAAGCAUCCAAAUGUGGGCUGCUUCUUUCUGCCAGCCCAUUCUAAACAUAAAUGCCAGUGGGGGCUAAUUUGCCUCUCUACUUAAAUGGAGAUAGUUCAGAGAGGGUCCUAAUGGGGCCUUUAAUAGCCAUUCUUUUAUGAAUCUUCACAUUGUACUCUCUUCAGAGAAUUCUUGCGUUUUAACUUUUGGAGUACAAGAAGACAUUGCAAUCUUCUUUAAUUGCUCUCUGUGCCUGUUGAGGAAAGAAGAAUACAAUUUCCUCUGGCCAGUCCCAUCUGGCUCAAGUUGAUAGGAUAGCUGGUCUGAUUCCAGACGGGGUCGGUGGAUACCCCUUAUCUUUUCAUUUUAUAGUAUUGUGCAAUGGGCUUUUAAUUAUCUUUGCUGGACCCCACGACUGGCAAAUGCAGAAAAUCGCUCUGUGAUUCCAGUUCACUCGAUAUAUCAGUUAGCCUAUGUGUUAGAACUGCGAUUUGCUGAAAGUUUAGGACAGCUCCCCAACUUAACUUGAAUGGUGCCAGAGGGAGGCAAGAAAAUUCCCUUUUUACUUUUAAGACUACUGGUUCAUGGAAUUUUGGGAUUGGCUAGGUUCUAGAACAAGUUAUCGAAUAUUUUGGAGAAGGCUUACUUGUGUAAUUUGAUUCUUUUUCCACUUUUAAUGUGUGCUAAAUUGGAAAAUAUACACUGUACCGAAAAAAU